UCAAAGCCAUAUUUCUCUAGAGGUUUAAUAGGGCGUCUAUCCCUGUCUCUAUCAAGUAGAUACUCCUUCACACCUGAACUCUCUACCUGAGAAUCAUCAUGUUCUUGACUUGAACUAGUGCAUGGUUCCUUGCAUUUAUUCACCUGAACCAUUUCAUUGCUCACUUGAAUCAUAUUUGAACCCAAAGUCUCUCCAUUUGGCAUGGUCACCUCUGUCAAAACUGACUGUUUCAUCAUGAAAUCUUCAUCAAACACUGCAUCUCUGCUCAACACCACCUUUCUGGAAACUGGAUCCCAGAACUUGAAC
rnacentral:lncRNA from 1 species